rnacentral:rRNA from 1 species
GUGGGGAAUAUUGGACAAUGGGGGAAACCCUGAUCCAGCAAUGCCGCGUGAGUGAAGAAGGCCUUAGGGUUGUAAAGCUCUUUCGCCCGCGAAGAUAAUGACGGUAGCGGGAGAAGAAGCCCCGGCUAACUCCGUGCCAGCAGCCGCGGUAAUACGGAGGGGGCUAGCGUUGUUCGGAAUUACUGGGCGUAAAGCGUACGUAGGCGGAUGCGCAAGUUGGGGGUGAAAUCCCGGGGCUUAACCUCGGAAUUGCCCUCAAAACUGAACGUCUUGAGACCGAAAGAGGUCAGGGGAAUUCCAAGUGUAGAGGUGAAAUGCGUAGAUAUUAGGAAGAACACCAGUGGCGAAGGCGGCUUACUGGCUCGGUACUGACGCUGAGGUACGAAAGCGUGGG